GCCAAGGUGGCCGAGCGGUCUAAGGCGCCAGACUCAAGAUCUGAUUGGUUGGAUCUUAUCCUGUUCAGCAGGAAGUAUUCUGGUAUCGAAAGAUGCUUGGGUUCGAAUCCCAACCUUGGCA
rfam:Fusarium oxysporum f. sp. raphani 54005 unplaced genomic scaffold supercont1.11, whole genome shotgun sequence.